rnacentral:rRNA from 1 species
UACGUAGGUGGCAAGCGUUGUCCGGAUUUAUUGGGUUUAAAGGGUGCGUAGGCGGCUUUGUAAGUCAGUGGUGAAAUAUGGCAGCUCAACUGUCAAGGUGCCAUUGAUACUGCAGAGCUUGAGUACAGAUGAGGUAGGCGGAAUUGACGGUGUAGCGGUGAAAUGCUUAGAUAUCGUCAAGAACACCUAUAGCGAAGGCAGCUUACUAGGCUGUAACUGACGCUGAGGCGACGAAAGG